CCACCCCACAGCAUAUGGAGUCGGGAUCAGAUCUGAGCUGCAGUUGCAAUCUAUGUUGUGCCUCAGCUGCAGCAACACUGGAUCCUUUAACCCACUGCAGAAAUGCCGCUAAUCCCAUUGCUCCACAGCAGGAACUCCCCUUUUUGUAAUUCUAAACAUUUAAAACAGUUUACAUUCGGAGGAUGAGUAGUUAGGAAAAGGGGGAGAGGUUAGCACAAUUUUAUAUUAAAACAUUAGAAAAUAGUUAAAUACAAGCAUAGGAAUGGAUCAGAUUCCAAGUAUUGAUCAGGUACAUACAGAAUUAAGCAUAUGAUAGGAGUUCCCAUCGUGGUGCAGUGAAAAUGAAUCUGACUAGGAUCCAUGAGGUUGCAGGUUCGAUCCCUGGCCUUGCUCAAUGGGUUAAGGAUCCAGCGUUGCCAUGAGCUGUGAUUUAAGUCGCAGACACGGCUCAGAUCCUGCGUUGCUGUGGCAUAGGCCAGCAAAUACAGCUCUGAUUAGACCCCUAGCCUGGGAACCUCCAUAUGCCACUGGUGUGGCCCAAAAAACAAACAACAACAACAAAAAAAAUUAAAAAAAGAAUUAAGCAUAUGAUAAAGGUGGCAUUUCAAUUCUGUAGGAGAAAUAUGGAUUAGUGUUCUCAAAUAUCACGAUUACUAUUCAUGGAAGGAAAUACAAACCUGAAUUCCAAUCUUAUUCCAUCCACCCUAAAUCAAAUCCAAAUAUUAACACAUUAUAUGUAAAAAGUGAAACUAUAGCAUGAAUUCUUAGUUUGUGAAAAUUCACCAAGCUAUACACUUAUGACACAUAUAUUUUGUGAUUACAUAGUAACAAUAAAAUUUUAAAAACUAUAUAAAGUGAUGGGUUAUUUAUUUUUACAAUUUUGAAGGAGAAAAGGCUUUUCAAUGGUAACAUAAAACUCAACAGUCAUUACAAAAAAAUCGACAAGUUUAACUAUGUGUGAGUUUAAAUACUAUCAAACCACUAUCAAAUAUAAAAUAAACACUGUCACAGAAAAAGUCAUUACAAAAAAAUCAACAAGUUUAACUAUGUGUAAGUUUAAAUACUACCAAACCACUAUCAAAUAUAAAAACACUGUCACGGAAACAAAUAAUGUUUCUUUGGCUCAGCAGAAACAAAUUUGACUAGUAUCCAUGAGGAGCAGGUUCCGUUCCUGGUCAUGCUCAGUGGGUUAAAGGAUCUGGCGUUGCCUCGAGCUGUGGUGUAGAUUGCAUAUGUGGCUUAGAUCCUAUGUUGCUGUGGCUGUGGUAUAGGCCAGCGGCUGCAGCUCUGAUUCAGCUCCUAGCCUGGGAACAUCCUUAUGCCAUGGGUGCAGCCCUAAAAAGACAAAAUAAAAUAAAAAUAAACAUUAUCAAAAGUAAAGAACAGGAGUUCUCUUGUGGCGCAGCCACUUAAGGAUCCGGUGUUGCCAUUGCAGUGGCUUGGGUUGCUGCCGUGGCUUGGGUUUGAUCCCUGGCCUGGGAACUUCCACAUGCCAACAACAACAAAAAAAAUCUAAUACAGGAAUUGGUUCCUUGGUGAUGGAAGGGGUAAGAAACCAAAAAGAGGAUGGUAAGCACUUCGGAAGUUAUCAACAGAAGGUAGCCUCUUAGGCCCUAGACUGGAGGGAGAAAGGGGAAUGUAGUCUUUCCGGUGCUAAGGGUCAAGGUCAACUAACUGAAGCCAAAACCAUGCCAGAGGGUGGUAGUGGAUGUUGAAGAAGCUGCUUGAAGCAGGGAGCAGGGGGUGGAUUAUUCCUUUCUCUGUGCUAGUUUCCCAUUGCUGCUGUAACAAAUCACUGCAAAUUAUGUGGCUUACAACAACAUGGAGUUCCCUUCAUGCCUCAGCAGUAACAAAUCUGACUAGCAUCCAUGAGGACAAAGGUUCAAUCCCUGGCCUCACUCGGUGGGUUAAGGAUCCGGCGUUGCCAUGAGAUAUGGUGUAGGUCGCAGACGGGGCCCAGAUCCUGUGUUGCUAUGGCUGUGGUAUAGCUGGCAACUAUAGGUCUGAUUGGACCCUUAGCCUGGGAAUUCCCAUAUGCCG
ensembl:lncRNA